AGUUGACACCAUGCGGCUAUGAAGUGUUGAAGACUUCGCAAAUCCUUGCACAGGACAGUAUGGCAUACGAGAAAGCAAAGACAUAACUAUUGAAGGGAGAGUUCAAUUUGAUCUUCUUCAGGCAAUGCAAAGGGAUUAUAAACUUAGUUCUUACUCUUUGAAUUCUGUUUCUGCACAUUUUCUUGGCGAACAA